rnacentral:snoRNA from 1 species
UUCCGUGAUGAAGCGGCACUGGGCUCCGAUAUCACAUGAGCAGACAUGCCACGUUGCGACAGGCCUAGAAAACCUCGUCCACUGAUC